rnacentral:tRNA from 1 species
GCGGGGGUGUCGGAGUGGUCAAACGAGCUACGUUGAGGGCGUAGUGGCUUAGUGCCUGCGCGAGUUCGAAUCUCGUCUCCCGCA